rnacentral:rRNA from 1 species
GUGGGGAAUUUUGGACAAUGGGCGAAAGCCUGAUCCAGCAAUGCCGCGUGUGUGAAGAAGGCCUUCGGGUUGUAAAGCACUUUUGUCCGGAAAGAAAUCCUUUGGGUUAAUACCUCGGAGGGAUGACGGUACCGGAAGAAUAAGGACCGGCUAACUACGUGCCAGCAGCCGCGGUAAUACGUAGGGUCCGAGCGUUAAUCGGAAUUACUGGGCGUAAAGCGUGCGCAGGCGGUUUUGUAAUACAGAUGUGAAAUCCCCGGGCUUAACCUGGGAAUUGCAUUUGUGACUGCAAGGCUAGAGUGUGUCAGAGGGGGGUAGAAUUCCACGUGUAGCAGUGAAAUGCGUAGAGAUGUGGAGGAAUACCGAUGGCGAAGGCAGCCCCCUGGGAUAACACUGACGCUCAUGCACGAAAGCGUGGGGAGCAAACAGGAUUAGAAACCCGGGUAGUCC